UACGUAGGGUGCAAGCGUUGUCCGGAAUUAUUGGGCGUAAAGAGCUCGUAGGCGGUCUGUCACGUCGGCUGUGAAAUCCCGAGGCUCAACCUCGGGUCUGCAGUCGAUACGGGCAAACUAGAGUAUUGCAGGGGAGACUGGAAUUCCUGGUGUAGCGGUGAAAUGCGCAGAUAUCGGGAAGAACACCCGUGGCGAAGGCGGUUCUCUGGGACGGUACUGACGCUGAGACGCGAAAGCGUGGGGAGCAAACAGG
rnacentral:rRNA from 1 species